rnacentral:rRNA from 1 species
CAUGGCUCAGAUUGAACGCUGGCGGCAGGCCUAACACAUGCAAGUCGAGCGGCAUCGGGAAGGUAGCUUGCUAUCUUUGCCGGCGAGCGGCGGACGGGUGAGUAAAGUCUGGGGAUCUGCCUGAUGGAGGGGGAUAACUACUGGAAACGGUAGCUAAUACCGCAUGAUGUUACGCGACCAAAGCGGGGGACCUCCGGGCCUCGCGCCAUCAGAUGAACCCAGAUGGGAUUAGCUAGUAGGAGAGGUAAUGGCUCCCCUAGGCGACGAUCCCUAGCUGGUCUGAGAGGAUAACCAGCCACACUGGAACUGAGAGACGGUCCAGACUCCUACGGGAGGCAGCAGUGGGGAAUAUUGCAC